rnacentral:rRNA from 1 species
UUCCUACGGGUGGCAGCAGUGGGGAAUAUUGCACAAUGGGCGCAAGCCUGAUGCAGCAACGCCGCGUGAGUGAUGAAGGCCUUCGGGUUGUAAAACUCUGUCCUAUGGGAAGAAACAAAUGACGGUACCAUAGGAGGAAGCCCCGGCUAACUACGUGCCAGCAGCCGCGGUAAUACGUAGGGGGCAAGCGUUAUCCGGAAUCACUGGGCGUAAAGGGUGCGUAGGCGGCUUAUCAAGCCAGGGGUGAAAGGCAUUGGCUCAACCAAUGUAAGCCUUUGGAACUGAUAGGCUUGAGUGCAGGAGAGGUAAGUGGAAUUCCUAGUGUAGAGGUGAAAUUCGUAGAUAUUAGGAGGAACACCAGUGGCGAAGGCGACUUACUGGACUGUAACUGACGCUGAGGCACGAAAGCGUGGGUAGCGAACAUGAUUAGAUACCCGUGUAGUCGUA